rnacentral:lncRNA from 1 species
UAAUAAUAAUGUUUAUUUCUCAUCAAUACAUUUGAUGAAGGAUAGCUGCAGGUAAAAGCUGCUCUCCGAAAGAGGCAGCUUGACAAGGGCCCACAGCCACCUUUGAACACGACAGCAGUGGCAACAAAACGGCAACGUGAAG